AGAAUGUAGAAGGAAUGCCAACAGAGGAACAGUUGGGAGUUCCUGGGGACUUGUUCCUUUUCAUUCUGAGACCUUGAACUGUGGAGCUAAUGGCUUUGUUCUCAGGGGAGUGUUGAAGAAUCCUUCCAUGAAAAACUUUCACCCUCAGGACCCAAAUUAAGACUCAGAAGCCACUCUAACCUUCUUGUAACAAGGUGAACACAAAACUAAAAACAAGGCAGAAGACCCUACCUCAACCCCCCAAAAGCCCUACCAUGUGACCGCUUUACCUUGUCCCCAAACCUUUGAUGCACCAGUUGCACGUGGGAGUUGACAGAUGCGUGGGGGAGCAGAUGGAAGUGCAGAAAAGGCCAAGCAAACCUUCAAUCUGAACUUGGCCCCCUGGAAUGUUGGCCUUGGAUCCUUAAGUAUAUCAGAUUGCCUCUUGCCAUUCAACUGUCCGAGGCUUCCCAGGUUAUAUUCAGGCAAGACUGUUGUUCAAAGCCAUCCACCAGUGAGCAAACCAGAACUAAAAAGCCAGGAGGGUGUGAGGAGAAGCAGAGGUCUCCUGGGGGUGAAAUGCUCACCCACAUUGCGAGGUUGCUGCUGCCCCAGAGCCCCUAAAAUGGGCUGCAAAGGCCUGGGAACAGGGACAUGGUAACUAAUAAAUAAAUACAAGAAGGGGCAAA
rnacentral:lncRNA from 1 species